rnacentral:rRNA from 1 species
UACUCCUACGGGAGGCAGCAGUGGGGAAUAUUGGACAAUGGGCGCAAGCCUGAUCCAGCCAUACCGCGUGGGUGAAGAAGGCCUUCGGGUUGUAAAGCCCUUUUGUUGGGAAAGAAAUCCAGCUGGUUAAUACCCGGUUGGGAUGACGGUACCCAAAGAAUAAGCACCGGCCAACUUCGUGCCAGCAGCCGCGGUAAUACGAAGGGUGCAAGCGUUACUCGGAAUUACUGGGCGUAAAGCGUGCGUAGGUGGUCGUUUAAGUCCGUUGUGAAGGCCCUGGGCUCAACCUGGGAACUGCAGUGGAUACUGGACGACUAGAGUGUGGUAGAGGGUAGCGGAAUUCCUGGUGUAGCAGUGAAAUGCGUAGAGAUCAGGAGGAACAUCCAUGGCGAAGGCAGCUACCUGGACCAACACUGACACUGAGGCACGAAAGCGUGGGGAGCAAACAGGAUUAGAUACCCUGGUAGUCCACGCCCUAAACGAUGCGAACUGGAUGUUGGGUGCAAUUUGGCACGCAGUAUCGAAGCUAACGCGUUAAGUUCGCCGCCUGGGGAGUACGGUCGCAAGACUGAAACUCAAAGGAAUUGACGGA